AGAGUUUGAUCCUGGCUCAGGAUGAAUGCUAGCGGCAGGCUUAACACAUGCAAGUCGAGGGGCAGCGGGGAGGAAGCUUGCUUUCUCCGCCGGCGACCGGCGCACGGGUGAGUAACACGUAUGCAACCUGCCCCUGUCAGGGGGACAACCCGCCGAAAGGCGGGCUAAACCCGCGUACAUGCCACCGGGGCAUCCCGGAGGCAGGAAAGGCUUCGGCCGGACAGGGAUGGGCAUGCGGCGCAUUAGGCAGUAGGCGGGGUAACGGCCCACCUAACCGACGAUGCGUAGGGGUUCUGAGAGGAAGGUCCCCCACACUGGUACUGAGACACGGACCAGACUCCUACGGGAGGCAGCAGUGAGGAAUAUUGGUCAAUGGUCGGGAGACUGAACCAGCCAAGCCGCGUGAGGGAGGAAGGUACAGAGUAUCGUAAACCUCUUUUGUCAGGGAACAAAGGCGGGGACGUGUCCCCGGAUGAGUGUACCUGAAGAAAAAGCAUCGGCUAACUCCGUGCCAGCAGCCGCGGUAAUACGGAGGAUGCUAGCGUUAUCCGGAUUUAUUGGGUUUAAAGGGUGCGCAGGGAGGUCUGUUAAGUCAGCGGUCAAAGGCCCGGGGGUUCCACCCCGGCCCGCCGUUGAAACUGGCAGUCUCGAGUUGGAGAAAAGUAUGCGGAAUGCGCGGUGUAGCGGGGAAAUGCAUAGAUUUGGCGCAGAACUCCGAUUGCGAAGGCAGCAUGCGGGCUCCACACUGACGCUGAGGCACGAAAGCGGUGGGUAUCGAACAGGGAUUAGAUACCCUGGUAGUCCACGCAGUAAACGAUGAAUGCUGGCUGUCCGGGGGGAUUGACCCCUGGGUGGCGAAGCGAAAGCGAUAAGCAUUCCACCUGGGGAGUACGCCGGCAACGGUGAAACUCAAAGGAAUUGACGGGGGCCCGCACAAGCGGAGGAACAUGUGGUUUAAUUCGAUGAUACGCGAGGAACCUUACCCGGGCUCAAACGGGGAGUGACUCAGGCAGAGACGCCUGUUUCCCACGGGACACUCCCCGAGGUGCUGCAUGGUUGUCGUCAGCUCGUGCCGUGAGGUGUCGGCUUAAGUGCCAUAACGAGCGCAACCCCCGCGUGCAGUUGCUAACAGAUAACGCUGAGGACUCUGCACGGACUGCCGGCGCAAGCCGCGAGGAAGGCGGGGAUGACGUCAAAUCAGCACGGCCCUUACGUCCGGGGCGACACACGUGUUACAAUGGGUGGUACAGCGGGAAGCCAGGCGGCGACGCCGAGCGGAACCCGAAAUCCACUCUCAGUUCGGAUCGGAGUCUGCAACCCGACUCCGUGAAGCUGGAUUCGCUAGUAAUCGCGCAUCAGCCAUGGCGCGGUGAAUACGUUCCCGGGCCUUGCACACACCGCCCGUCA
rnacentral:rRNA from 1 species